GCUGCAGCAAAAUCUGCAGCCGGGCAUCUCAACCCCGAAUACCCCAAUGGCGACACACACGCGCCUGCGUGUUUUUU
rfam:Klebsiella pneumoniae IS39, WGS project CBWT01000000 data, contig: c929